GAGAGUUUUCCCAGGAUGGGACCCUGAGGGUCCCACUCUGGGUUGUGCACGGUCCAUCCCUCCACUGGUCACCCCCAAAUCACAUACAGACCAAGAGAGGUCACAGCAGGCCAACUGUUAAGGGCUGUUCAUAGGGCUAUUGAGGCCAGGGCUAUUCAGUUUAGGUCUGGUUAAGUUUAGGUUUGUGCAGGAUGGGUCUGUAAAAUCCAGGUAUGAAUCCUGGGGUGUCUGGUAGGUUUUAGGUUUGGAUAUGGUGGGUUGGUUAGGUUUAGGUUGUGUUAUGGUUAGUCGGUUAGGUUUUAGGUUUGGGUUAAGGUCAGGUAGAUCUGCUAAGUCUCAUUAAGACCUCUUGGGAAUUUUGUAUCCAGUCUCAUGAUCCAUAAUCUUUCAUAUUUAAGUCUAUCACACAACGACCAGAAUGGGUCGGAUUGAAGUCCAGUCACCCUGAAGGCCUCAAGGCCGUGGGUGAGGAAGUGCUGGACUACGUGUCUACGUUUCUCUAUUUUAUUUUUUAUGUUGUGUGUGUGCUGAUAGACUCGGACCUUUAAAGCAUUUUUUGUCUGGCCUACAUAUUGUUUGGAACACUUUGUACAAUAAAUCAAAUAAAUACAGUUCUCUGUUACUGGAGUGAGAUGCUGUGAGAUCUGAAAGACUUGUUUUGUUGAACGAUUGAAUACCCAUUUUUGCUGAUCAAAGUAUUUACAGAGUGACUUUUUCUUCUGUGGUGCCAUAGGUCUGAGUUUGCUAUUUACUAGAACGUCUGAUAGAUUUGUAUUUCUCCUAUAGGCAGCUAUUUGUUUGUGUUUCUGUAAGAAGGGAGUGUUUUCAAAGAACCUUUCAAAAUUAGACUUAGCUGCACGGUUUAAUUGUUUGCUCAUUAGCGAGAAAUUGGACACUAAUGGAAUAAUUUUGUUCUUUUCACCCUCUUUAGGGUCCCUUGGAGUCCCGGGGAGGAGAAAAGUCUUCAGAGCCCUUCUUAAGAAGGACCUCGAGUAUCCUCUGUCCCUCAGGGCCCUGAACAGAAUUUUGGUUGCUUCCAUAAAACAGGAAUGUUCUGUGCAUAUCCUGUGAAAUCUGAGUAAUUGAGAUUUCACUAUACCUUUAAAUGUAUGUUUAGGAUGGAAGCUGUGUUUGUGCAGUAAGGAAUGCGUGUCCGUUUCUUUGAAAUACACUCUAAAGUCUAGCUGUCCUGUCUCUUCAAAUUUCUGUCCCUUAUAUGACACCACAUCUAGAAAGUUGACCUCUGUGGGGUCAAUUGUAUAUUUAAUUGUAAUCGAUCUCUGAUGGGUAUUCAAGUGUUCUGCAAAGUCCCUAAAAUCAUCCAUGGAGUAAGACCACACUCCCCAUAUGUCAUCCAGAAAUCUAAAGUAAUGCAGAGGCCUUUUUGUGCACGAACCCAGAGCCGAUUGUUCCCAUCUCGCCAUGAAGAUGUUGGCGUAGGAAGGGGCAAACUUUUUGCCCAUGGCUGUGCCUUUAACUUGCAAAUAAUAUUUAGAAUUAAAUUCAAAGUCAUUUUUAGUUAAGUUUAUAUCUAAUAAUUUUAAAAUAUAAUCAUCAGGCCUUUUUGGGUCUGGAUAUUGAAGCAUGCACUCCUGGACCGCCUGGAGGCCCGCUUCAGUUUCUAUGUUCGUAUAUAAGCUGUCAAUAUCUAUGGUGAACAAAAAGGCUCCUCUGGGAAUACUGAUGUCUUUAACUUUCUGGAUGAAGUCAUAAGUGUCCUUCAGAUAGCUCGGGUGUUUCUGAGAGAUGGGGUUGAGAUAAUACUCGAUGUACUCAGCUGUCUGAUAAGUUUCACUGUUGCAAUCAGACACUAUGGGUCUGCCGGGUGGAAUCUCGUGUGGAAUACUCCAUUUUUCAGGCUCCUUGUGAAUCUUAGGCAAUAAAUAAAAUCUUCUCAUUCGAGGAGUGCCACUGCCGCUUAAAUAAUCCCUCUGUUUUGAGUUAAUGAUACCCUUGUCAUACAUCUGUUCUAAGAUUUUUCUAACCUGUUUCAUGGUUUCAAAAUAAAUGGGUUCUUCUAAGGGUUUGUAGUGGUCACUGAUGUUUAAUUGUCUCUCUCCCUCCCAGACAUAUUGCUCUCUAUCCAUGAUGACAAUGGCAUUUCCCUUGUCAGCAGGUUUAAUGACAAUUUCUCUGAGGUUUUUUAGUGUGUUCAAGGCCCUCAGUUCCUCCCUCUGGAGGUUGGGCCUUGGUUUCAAGCUCCAAUUCAAGUUCUUAUAAGCAUACUCAUCAGCUGUGAUCAGCUGGCCUACUUGUUUGGGAAGUCUGCUCAAGGCCGGAGUCCAAUCUGAAUUGUGUGUGAAAGAGAUAAUGUUUUCCAUUUUUUUGGAAGUUUCCCCCCUCUCUGUCUCCUGAGGAGCCCCUGGUUGAAGAGAUGUCACAGAAUAUUCUGAAAAAUCAAAGUCUGAGAGAUUGGGUGACCCUGACGGAUUUUGGAAGAUCUGGGCACUCUCAGCUGUGUCCCUUAGAGGAUUUACUCUAUGUACUGCAUUGGCUACAAUGGGGACCAGAGAAGGCAGGCCUGUGGUUAUCGGGGCCUCAGCCUCAGAGGGGGCAAAAGGAGAGAAAAGUUCCUGUGACAGCUGACCCGUAAACUCAUCUAAAUCAUCCAGUCUGUCACCCUGUGCAGGAGUUAACUGAUCCUCCUCCUCAUCAUCAUCAUCAAAACUCACUAAGAGAUUUUUCUCAGCUUGUUCUGUAACGACUGGUGGAGUUUUUGGUCUCUGUUCGGUCAGGUGUUUUUUCUUUUCUGGUCUUUUCCCCUUAGGAGACUGUAUAGGGGCCUGUAUAGGGGCCUGUAUAGGGGCCUGUACAGGAGGGUUCAGAGGUGGAAAAUCAUCUCCCAGAAGCCAGUCGUUCCUCAUAGGAGACCAGCCUGACAUUAAAGUGGGCGAUGUUUGUAUCUGGAUGUGUGUGACCCCUGUCUUAGGUCUGACGACCCCUGUGUUGACCGUUUCUGUCCCCUGCUGAGCUGAGGCUAGAUCUGCACCACUAACCACCUGAGCAAAUGUUCUGUUGCUACUGGUUUCAGAAUUCGAUGGUACUCUAGACCCGGAUGGAGUCCCAGAACGCAAUUCGGUCAGGACCAAAGUUUCGGCCUGCUGAAUUGCCCUCUGGGAGAUCCUUUUGCCAAAAUUUCUCAUCGCCCAUUUGACAGCGAUCUCGAAAGCGUGUAACCAGUCUUUUCUCUGUGUCUCUCCCCGUAAGAUCCCCAGUGUGUGCUUUAUGAUAUCCUCAUAAUGUUGCUGUAACACCAACUGUGUCGUAAACGCCCAGUUCUUUGCAUUACCCUCCAGCAAUUCUUUUGUGGACAUUGUGGGGGCAAAGGGUUUGAUCACACUUUUAAGAAGCUCUGUUAACCUUUUAAGAGUGACAGGCUGGUUAUCUUCUAUCCGUGUGUCAAUAUUACUGAGGUGAUGGACAGAUCUGAUCAGAUGAUACAUAUUCUUAAUAAUUCUCCGAAAAGUGGGAGAAGCAGGAGAGUAUUCUGUAUUUUUUUGUGAAUCAAAGUGAGUUUUUUGGCCCAUUCUUUUUUUCUGGUGAACAUAUUUUUGUGCAAACUGGCCAUUCUCACGUCUCCUGUUCUUUUCUACAUUACGAGGAGAAUAUUGUGUGUUUCUGUAUCUCUGGUCAGUAAACCUGUUCUGUUCAGUGGGGUAAAAAAUCUUAUUUUGCCCAAAAGUCACUCUCUUUUGUUUGGGUUUAAAUCCCCGAUUUAAAGGGCGUCGAUCACGUGACUGACGACGGAAAGGAUUUACAGUAUUCUCCGAUCGAGUUUCAUUCUGUACUCUGUUACUGUAACCCGCGAGUGAUUCUCCGUGUCUGAUGACCUCAUAUGGGAAGUCACGAGAUCGCUCGACAAAAUAAUCGUCCCUCAUAAAUCGUCCCCGUCUGGGGAAAUCCCUGUUAUCUGUGUGAGGGAUCAGACGCGCUCGAGGGGUCGUGAAACGACCCUUGUUCUGAAAAACGAACACCAUCCUUAUUUUACUGAACGAUCAAAUCCACAACUGUGUAUUCUUUUAAUCUUUUAUUCUAUUUCUGAAAAUUAAAAAAAAUGUUUUUUUUGUCCUUUUAUAUUUUUUUAACUUUUUUUGGGAUUUUCUUGUGUUUUUUUUAACAAUAAAGAGAUAAACCAACUUUUUUUGGAUUUUUUAGUGUUUUUUUUAACAGUAUGAAAUGAACCAGAUGUGUGAUUUUAUAUGAAAUCAAAAGAAAAGAUCAAAGGAUCAAAAUAAAAUUUCAAAAUAAUGGAAAAAAACAAAAAUAUAUUUUCUUUUAGGGAAAUAAAUGUUUCUGUGUUCAAGCCUAUAUCGCGACGUUUCGAUACUUUGAUGUAUCUUCUUCAGGCAGGCUUGAACUUUUCAAUUUUCUGUUUUAUCUCGAGAUACAAAAUAACCGUUUUACUAAAUCACCAACCAAGAUGUUACUGCAAGCAGUGCAACAAUCCUUCUGACUCGGACUGCGUUCCGUUAGGUAUAUCAAAGCCAGUCGAUGACGUCAUCGGCACGCCAUCCUCCAAUCCCUUCAAACCAAUACAAAAUUUAAACCAAACAAGCACACGAUGCAUUUUUCAAAUUUGAAUUAUGUGCGUUGCAUUUUUUAUUUUUUAUUUAUUUUUAGUCGAUGCAUGUUGCUUUUUUUUAUAUAGAGAAUUUUUUUCUUUGCUUUUUUCAAAUUUAAACGAUGCUCUUUGCCUCUUUCAAUUUGAAAAAUGCAGCUCCUCAGUCUGCAUGUAACAAAGAAAACAAUGCAUCCCUCAAAUGUGCUCCAAGUAGCCAUAAACAAUGUUUUUUAAUCAUUUAUGACUAUUAAAGCCCUCUAGUGCCUCAUAAUAUAUGUAUUUUUAUUUAUUGUAUAUUUAUGUAUAUUCAGUUCUGUUUCUAUAUGUUUUUCACAAUCAUCUCUUUCUGUUUUAUAGAUAGAUACUGAAAAAAAUAUAUUCUAGUGCCCAUGAAGUAUUUAUAAUUUUAUCUUUAUGCUUUUUUAUGCUUUUUAUAUUUGUAUUAUAUUUAACCUCGUGUGUCUUUAUAAGUAAUCCAUGAAAACCAUGAAUUCUAGUGCCCAUGAAGUAUGUAUUCAUAUUUUAAUUUUUUAAUAUGUAUUAGGGUGUAUAUUUAUUUAUUUUAAUAAUAAUAAAAAAUAAGAACAUAUGAAAGCCCAUAAAGUGUGGUUCCGCUGAGUACCCACUAGAGGUCAUGAGAAGAGAGGGCCCAGAGAGGGAGGCUCAGGCUGGGUUAGGAAAAAGGAGAGUUUUCCCAGGAUGGGACCCUGAGGGUCCCACUCUGGGUUGUGCACGGUCCAUCCCUCCACUGGUCACCCCCAAAUCACAUACAGACCAAGAGAGGUCACAGCAGGCCAACUGUUAAGGGCUGUUCAUAGGGCUAUUGAGGCCAGGGCUAUUCAGUUUAGGUCUGGUUAAGUUUAGGUUUGUGCAGGAUGGGUCUGUAAAAUCCAGGUAUGAAUCCUGGGGUGUCUGGUAGGUUUUAGGUUUGGAUAUGGUGGGUUGGUUAGGUUUAGGUUGUGUUAUGGUUAGUCGGUUAGGUUUUAGGUUUGGGUUAAGGUCAGGUAGAUCUGCUAAGUCUCAUUAAGACCUCUUGGGAAUUUUGUAUCCAGUCUCAUGAUCCAUAAUCUUUCAUAUUUAAGUCUAUCACACAACGACCAGAAUGGGUCGGAUUGAAGUCCAGUCACCCUGAAGGCCUCAAGGCCGUGGGUGAGGAAGUGCUGGACUACGUGUCUACGUUUCUCUAUUUUAUUUUUUAUGUUGUGUGUGUGCUGAUAGACUCGGACCUUUAAAGCAUUUUUUGUCUGGCCUACAUAUUGUUUGGAACACUUUGUACAAUAAAUCAAAUAAAUACAGUUCUCUGUUACUGGAGUGAGAUGCUGUGAGAUCUGAAAGACUUGUUUUGUUGAACGAUUGAAUACCCAUUUUUGCUGAUCAAAGUAUUUACAGAGUGACUUUUUCUUCUGUGGUGCCAUAGGUCUGAGUUUGCUAUUUACUAGAACGUCUGAUAGAUUUGUAUUUCUCCUAUAGGCAGCUAUUUGUUUGUGUUUCUGUAAGAAGGGAGUGUUUUCAAAGAACCUUUCAAAAUUAGACUUAGCUGCACGGUUUAAUUGUUUGCUCAUUAGCGAGAAAUUGGACACUAAUGGAAUAAUUUUGUUCUUUUCACCCUCUUUAGGGUCCCUUGGAGUCCCGGGGAGGAGAAAAGUCUUCAGAGCCCUUCUUAAGAAGGACCUCGAGUAUCCUCUGUCCCUCAGGGCCCUGAACAGAAUUUUGGUUGCUUCCAUAAAACAGGAAUGUUCUGUGCAUAUCCUGUGAAAUCUGAGUAAUUGAGAUUUCACUAUACCUUUAAAUGUAUGUUUAGGAUGGAAGCUGUGUUUGUGCAGUAAGGAAUGCGUGUCCGUUUCUUUGAAAUACACUCUAAAGUCUAGCUGUCCUGUCUCUUCAAAUUUCUGUCCCUUAUAUGACACCACAUCUAGAAAGUUGACCUCUGUGGGGUCAAUUGUAUAUUUAAUUGUAAUCGAUCUCUGAUGGGUAUUCAAGUGUUCUGCAAAGUCCCUAAAAUCAUCCAUGGAGUAAGACCACACUCCCCAUAUGUCAUCCAGAAAUCUAAAGUAAUGCAGAGGCCUUUUUGUGCACGAACCCAGAGCCGAUUGUUCCCAUCUCGCCAUGAAGAUGUUGGCGUAGGAAGGGGCAAACUUUUUGCCCAUGGCUGUGCCUUUAACUUGCAAAUAAUAUUUAGAAUUAAAUUCAAAGUCAUUUUUAGUUAAGUUUAUAUCUAAUAAUUUUAAAAUAUAAUCAUCAGGCCUUUUUGGGUCUGGAUAUUGAAGCAUGCACUCCUGGACCGCCUGGAGGCCCGCUUCAGUUUCUAUGUUCGUAUAUAAGCUGUCAAUAUCUAUGGUGAACAAAAAGGCUCCUCUGGGAAUACUGAUGUCUUUAACUUUCUGGAUGAAGUCAUAAGUGUCCUUCAGAUAGCUCGGGUGUUUCUGAGAGAUGGGGUUGAGAUAAUACUCGAUGUACUCAGCUGUCUGAUAAGUUUCACUGUUGCAAUCAGACACUAUGGGUCUGCCGGGUGGAAUCUCGUGUGGAAUACUCCAUUUUUCAGGCUCCUUGUGAAUCUUAGGCAAUAAAUAAAAUCUUCUCAUUCGAGGAGUGCCACUGCCGCUUAAAUAAUCCCUCUGUUUUGAGUUAAUGAUACCCUUGUCAUACAUCUGUUCUAAGAUUUUUCUAACCUGUUUCAUGGUUUCAAAAUAAAUGGGUUCUUCUAAGGGUUUGUAGUGGUCACUGAUGUUUAAUUGUCUCUCUCCCUCCCAGACAUAUUGCUCUCUAUCCAUGAUGACAAUGGCAUUUCCCUUGUCAGCAGGUUUAAUGACAAUUUCUCUGAGGUUUUUUAGUGUGUUCAAGGCCCUCAGUUCCUCCCUCUGGAGGUUGGGCCUUGGUUUCAAGCUCCAAUUCAAGUUCUUAUAAGCAUACUCAUCAGCUGUGAUCAGCUGGCCUACUUGUUUGGGAAGUCUGCUCAAGGCCGGAGUCCAAUCUGAAUUGUGUGUGAAAGAGAUAAUGUUUUCCAUUUUUUUGGAAGUUUCCCCCCUCUCUGUCUCCUGAGGAGCCCCUGGUUGAAGAGAUGUCACAGAAUAUUCUGAAAAAUCAAAGUCUGAGAGAUUGGGUGACCCUGACGGAUUUUGGAAGAUCUGGGCACUCUCAGCUGUGUCCCUUAGAGGAUUUACUCUAUGUACUGCAUUGGCUACAAUGGGGACCAGAGAAGGCAGGCCUGUGGUUAUCGGGGCCUCAGCCUCAGAGGGGGCAAAAGGAGAGAAAAGUUCCUGUGACAGCUGACCCGUAAACUCAUCUAAAUCAUCCAGUCUGUCACCCUGUGCAGGAGUUAACUGAUCCUCCUCCUCAUCAUCAUCAUCAAAACUCACUAAGAGAUUUUUCUCAGCUUGUUCUGUAACGACUGGUGGAGUUUUUGGUCUCUGUUCGGUCAGGUGUUUUUUCUUUUCUGGUCUUUUCCCCUUAGGAGACUGUAUAGGGGCCUGUAUAGGGGCCUGUAUAGGGGCCUGUACAGGAGGGUUCAGAGGUGGAAAAUCAUCUCCCAGAAGCCAGUCGUUCCUCAUAGGAGACCAGCCUGACAUUAAAGUGGGCGAUGUUUGUAUCUGGAUGUGUGUGACCCCUGUCUUAGGUCUGACGACCCCUGUGUUGACCGUUUCUGUCCCCUGCUGAGCUGAGGCUAGAUCUGCACCACUAACCACCUGAGCAAAUGUUCUGUUGCUACUGGUUUCAGAAUUCGAUGGUACUCUAGACCCGGAUGGAGUCCCAGAACGCAAUUCGGUCAGGACCAAAGUUUCGGCCUGCUGAAUUGCCCUCUGGGAGAUCCUUUUGCCAAAAUUUCUCAUCGCCCAUUUGACAGCGAUCUCGAAAGCGUGUAACCAGUCUUUUCUCUGUGUCUCUCCCCGUAAGAUCCCCAGUGUGUGCUUUAUGAUAUCCUCAUAAUGUUGCUGUAACACCAACUGUGUCGUAAACGCCCAGUUCUUUGCAUUACCCUCCAGCAAUUCUUUUGUGGACAUUGUGGGGGCAAAGGGUUUGAUCACACUUUUAAGAAGCUCUGUUAACCUUUUAAGAGUGACAGGCUGGUUAUCUUCUAUCCGUGUGUCAAUAUUACUGAGGUGAUGGACAGAUCUGAUCAGAUGAUACAUAUUCUUAAUAAUUCUCCGAAAAGUGGGAGAAGCAGGAGAGUAUUCUGUAUUUUUUUGUGAAUCAAAGUGACUUUUUUGGCCCAUUCUUUUUUUCUGGUGAACAUAUUUUUGUGCAAACUGGCCAUUCUCACGUCUCCUGUUCUUUUCUACAUUACGAGGAGAAUAUUGUGUGUUUCUGUAUCUCUGGUCAGUAAACCUGUUCUGUUCAGUGGGGUAAAAAAUCUUAUUUUGCCCAAAAGUCACUCUCUUUUGUUUGGGUUUAAAUCCCCGAUUUAAAGGGCGUCGAUCACGUGACUGACGACGGAAAGGAUUUACAGUAUUCUCCGAUCGAGUUUCAUUCUGUACUCUGUUACUGUAACCCGCGAGUGAUUCUCCGUGUCUGAUGACCUCAUAUGGGAAGUCACGAGAUCGCUCGACAAAAUAAUCGUCCCUCAUAAAUCGUCCCCGUCUGGGGAAAUCCCUGUUAUCUGUGUGAGGGAUCAGACGCGCUCGAGGGGUCGUGAAACGACCCUUGUUCUGAAAAACGAACACCAUCCUUAUUUUACUGAACGAUCAAAUCCACAACUGUGUAUUCUUUUAAUCUUUUAUUCUAUUUCUGAAAAUUAAAAAAAAUGUUUUUUUUGUCCUUUUAUAUUUUUUUAACUUUUUUUGGGAUUUUCUUGUGUUUUUUUUAACAAUAAAGAGAUAAACCAACUUUUUUUGGAUUUUUUAGUGUUUUUUUUAACAGUAUGAAAUGAACCAGAUGUGUGAUUUUAUAUGAAAUCAAAAGAAAAGAUCAAAGGAUCAAAAUAAAAUUUCAAAAUAAUGGAAAAAAACAAAAAUAUAUUUUCUUUUAGGGAAAUAAAUGUUUCUGUGUUCAAGCCUAUAUCGCGACGUUUCGAUACUUUGAUGUAUCUUCUUCAGGCAGGCUUGAACUUUUCAAUUUUCUGUUUUAUCUCGAGAUACAAAAUAACCGUUUUACUAAAUCACCAACCAAGAUGUUACUGCAAGCAGUGCAACAAUCCUUCUGACUCGGACUGCGUUCCGUUAGGUAUAUCAAAGCCAGUCGAUGACGUCAUCGGCACGCCAUCCUCCAAUCCCUUCAAACCAAUACAAAAUUUAAACCAAACAAGCACACGAUGCAUUUUUCAAAUUUGAAUUAUGUGCGUUGCAUUUUUUAUUUUUUAUUUAUUUUUAGUCGAUGCAUGUUGCUUUUUUUUAUAUAGAGAAUUUUUUUCUUUGCUUUUUUCAAAUUUAAACGAUGCUCUUUGCCUCUUUCAAUUUGAAAAAUGCAGCUCCUCAGUCUGCAUGUAACAAAGAAAACAAUGCAUCCCUCAAAUGUGCUCCAAGUAGCCAUAAACAAUGUUUUUUAAUCAUUUAUGACUAUUAAAGCCCUCUAGUGCCUCAUAAUAUAUGUAUUUUUAUUUAUUGUAUAUUUAUGUAUAUUCAGUUCUGUUUCUAUAUGUUUUUCACAAUCAUCUCUUUCUGUUUUAUAGAUAGAUACUGAAAAAAAUAUAUUCUAGUGCCCAUGAAGUAUUUAUAAUUUUAUCUUUAUGCUUUUUUAUGCUUUUUAUAUUUGUAUUAUAUUUAACCUCGUGUGUCUUUAUAAGUAAUCCAUGAAAACCAUGAAUUCUAGUGCCCAUGAAGUAUGUAUUCAUAUUUUAAUUUUUUAAUAUGUAUUAGGGUGUAUAUUUAUUUAUUUUAAUAAUAAUAAAAAAUAAGAACAUAUGAAAGCCCAUAAAGUGUGGUUCCGCUGAGUACCCACUAGAGGUCAUGAGAAGAGAGGGCCCAGAGAGGGAGGCUCAGGCUGGGUUAGGAAAAAGGAGAGUUUUCCCAGGAUGGGACCCUGAGGGUCCCACUCUGGGUUGUGCACGGUCCAUCCCUCCACUGGUCACCCCCAAAUCACAUACAGACCAAGAGAGGUCACAGCAGGCCAACUGUUAAGGGCUGUUCAUAGGGCUAUUGAGGCCAGGGCUAUUCAGUUUAGGUCUGGUUAAGUUUAGGUUUGUGCAGGAUGGGUCUGUAAAAUCCAGGUAUGAAUCCUGGGGUGUCUGGUAGGUUUUAGGUUUGGAUAUGGUGGGUUGGUUAGGUUUAGGUUGUGUUAUGGUUAGUCGGUUAGGUUUUAGGUUUGGGUUAAGGUCAGGUAGAUCUGCUAAGUCUCAUUAAGACCUCUUGGGAAUUUUGUAUCCAGUCUCAUGAUCCAUAAUCUUUCAUAUUUAAGUCUAUCACACAACGACCAGAAUGGGUCGGAUUGAAGUCCAGUCACCCUGAAGGCCUCAAGGCCGUGGGUGAGGAAGUGCUGGACUACGUGUCUACGUUUCUCUAUUUUAUUUUUUAUGUUGUGUGUGUGCUGAUAGACUCGGACCUUUAAAGCAUUUUUUGUCUGGCCUACAUAUUGUUUGGAACACUUUGUACAAUAAAUCAAAUAAAUACAGUUCUCUGUUACUGGAGUGAGAUGCUGUGAGAUCUGAAAGACUUGUUUUGUUGAACGAUUGAAUACCCAUUUUUGCUGAUCAAAGUAUUUACAGAGUGACUUUUUCUUCUGUGGUGCCAUAGGUCUGAGUUUGCUAUUUACUAGAACGUCUGAUAGAUUUGUAUUUCUCCUAUAGGCAGCUAUUUGUUUGUGUUUCUGUAAGAAGGGAGUGUUUUCAAAGAACCUUUCAAAAUUAGACUUAGCUGCACGGUUUAAUUGUUUGCUCAUUAGCGAGAAAUUGGACACUAAUGGAAUAAUUUUGUUCUUUUCACCCUCUUUAGGGUCCCUUGGAGUCCCGGGGAGGAGAAAAGUCUUCAGAGCCCUUCUUAAGAAGGACCUCGAGUAUCCUCUGUCCCUCAGGGCCCUGAACAGAAUUUUGGUUGCUUCCAUAAAACAGGAAUGUUCUGUGCAUAUCCUGUGAAAUCUGAGUAAUUGAGAUUUCACUAUACCUUUAAAUGUAUGUUUAGGAUGGAAGCUGUGUUUGUGCAGUAAGGAAUGCGUGUCCGUUUCUUUGAAAUACACUCUAAAGUCUAGCUGUCCUGUCUCUUCAAAUUUCUGUCCCUUAUAUGACACCACAUCUAGAAAGUUGACCUCUGUGGGGUCAAUUGUAUAUUUAAUUGUAAUCGAUCUCUGAUGGGUAUUCAAGUGUUCUGCAAAGUCCCUAAAAUCAUCCAUGGAGUAAGACCACACUCCCCAUAUGUCAUCCAGAAAUCUAAAGUAAUGCAGAGGCCUUUUUGUGCACGAACCCAGAGCCGAUUGUUCCCAUCUCGCCAUGAAGAUGUUGGCGUAGGAAGGGGCAAACUUUUUGCCCAUGGCUGUGCCUUUAACUUGCAAAUAAUAUUUAGAAUUAAAUUCAAAGUCAUUUUUAGUUAAGUUUAUAUCUAAUAAUUUUAAAAUAUAAUCAUCAGGCCUUUUUGGGUCUGGAUAUUGAAGCAUGCACUCCUGGACCGCCUGGAGGCCCGCUUCAGUUUCUAUGUUCGUAUAUAAGCUGUCAAUAUCUAUGGUGAACAAAAAGGCUCCUCUGGGAAUACUGAUGUCUUUAACUUUCUGGAUGAAGUCAUAAGUGUCCUUCAGAUAGCUCGGGUGUUUCUGAGAGAUGGGGUUGAGAUAAUACUCGAUGUACUCAGCUGUCUGAUAAGUUUCACUGUUGCAAUCAGACACUAUGGGUCUGCCGGGUGGAAUCUCGUGUGGAAUACUCCAUUUUUCAGGCUCCUUGUGAAUCUUAGGCAAUAAAUAAAAUCUUCUCAUUCGAGGAGUGCCACUGCCGCUUAAAUAAUCCCUCUGUUUUGAGUUAAUGAUACCCUUGUCAUACAUCUGUUCUAAGAUUUUUCUAACCUGUUUCAUGGUUUCAAAAUAAAUGGGUUCUUCUAAGGGUUUGUAGUGGUCACUGAUGUUUAAUUGUCUCUCUCCCUCCCAGACAUAUUGCUCUCUAUCCAUGAUGACAAUGGCAUUUCCCUUGUCAGCAGGUUUAAUGACAAUUUCUCUGAGGUUUUUUAGUGUGUUCAAGGCCCUCAGUUCCUCCCUCUGGAGGUUGGGCCUUGGUUUCAAGCUCCAAUUCAAGUUCUUAUAAGCAUACUCAUCAGCUGUGAUCAGCUGGCCUACUUGUUUGGGAAGUCUGCUCAAGGCCGGAGUCCAAUCUGAAUUGUGUGUGAAAGACGGAAUAAAUGUGAGGCCUUUCAUGAGCAGGGAUGACUGUGAGGGAGAGAGAGUAAAGUGUUUGGAAAGAUUCACAACAAGCCUGUGUGCACCCUUUCUCGGGUGUUCACUCACUACAAGUUUAAAUAUCGUGCCCAGUGUUCCAACAUGUUCCUGGCUGUCUCUGCAGUCCAGUGCAGGCCGUCACUCUCUACCUGAAACUGAUCCUCUGGCAGGAGGGGGAUGAAGGAAUAAUUUUCCUCUAUGUAAUUGUUUAAUUCAUCUAAAAAUAUUUUUUCUCCUUCUGGGAGAGAUUGGGGGAUAUUGAUCAGGGGGAUCCACAGUUGGGCCUCUGGCAGUCUCUCUUGUGCCACCUGACUCAAUCUGGCACACUCUCUCAUCGCUGAGAUGCGUAAUCUUUGUGUGCGGUUAUUCAGGCCGAAUGCCAAGACUAUUUUUUCUACUUGUGUGUCUACUGUGGCUUUUUCUAUCAGAUUGGCAGCGUGCUGCAAUUUAGCCCCUGGAAAACUGUCAAUCUGUAAAUCAGGAAUGUCAAAAGCGGGAAUCCUGCCCAAAUUGGAGUCCCCGAUGACCACGUGUUUCUCUUUGAGUGCCAGUUUCCACUCAUUGAACUUUUUGUUAGUUCUAAGAGAUAAUGUUUUCCAUUUUUUUGGAAGUUUCCCCCCUCUCUGUCUCCUGAGGAGCCCCUGGUUGAAGAGAUGUCACAGAAUAUUCUGAAAAAUCAAAGUCUGAGAGAUUGGGUGACCCUGACGGAUUUUGGAAGAUCUGGGCACUCUCAGCUGUGUCCCUUAGAGGAUUUACUCUAUGUACUGCAUUGGCUACAAUGGGGACCAGAGAAGGCAGGCCUGUGGUUAUCGGGGCCUCAGCCUCAGAGGGGGCAAAAGGAGAGAAAAGUUCCUGUGACAGCUGACCCGUAAACUCAUCUAAAUCAUCCAGUCUGUCACCCUGUGCAGGAGUUAACUGAUCCUCCUCCUCAUCAUCAUCAUCAAAACUCACUAAGAGAUUUUUCUCAGCUUGUUCUGUAACGACUGGUGGAGUUUUUGGUCUCUGUUCGGUCAGGUGUUUUUUCUUUUCUGGUCUUUUCCCCUUAGGAGACUGUAUAGGGGCCUGUAUAGGGGCCUGUAUAGGGGCCUGUACAGGAGGGUUCAGAGGUGGAAAAUCAUCUCCCAGAAGCCAGUCGUUCCUCAUAGGAGACCAGCCUGACAUUAAAGUGGGCGAUGUUUGUAUCUGGAUGUGUGUGACCCCUGUCUUAGGUCUGACGACCCCUGUGUUGACCGUUUCUGUCCCCUGCUGAGCUGAGGCUAGAUCUGCACCACUAACCACCUGAGCAAAUGUUCUGUUGCUACUGGUUUCAGAAUUCGAUGGUACUCUAGACCCGGAUGGAGUCCCAGAACGCAAUUCGGUCAGGACCAAAGUUUCGGCCUGCUGAAUUGCCCUCUGGGAGAUCCUUUUGCCAAAAUUUCUCAUCGCCCAUUUGACAGCGAUCUCGAAAGCGUGUAACCAGUCUUUUCUCUGUGUCUCUCCCCGUAAGAUCCCCAGUGUGUGCUUUAUGAUAUCCUCAUAAUGUUGCUGUAACACCAACUGUGUCGUAAACGCCCAGUUCUUUGCAUUACCCUCCAGCAAUUCUUUUGUGGACAUUGUGGGGGCAAAGGGUUUGAUCACACUUUUAAGAAGCUCUGUUAACCUUUUAAGAGUGACAGGCUGGUUAUCUUCUAUCCGUGUGUCAAUAUUACUGAGGUGAUGGACAGAUCUGAUCAGAUGAUACAUAUUCUUAAUAAUUCUCCGAAAAGUGGGAGAAGCAGGAGAGUAUUCUGUAUUUUUUUGUGAAUCAAAGUGAGUUUUUUGGCCCAUUCUUUUUUUCUGGUGAACAUAUUUUUGUGCAAACUGGCCAUUCUCACGUCUCCUGUUCUUUUCUACAUUACGAGGAGAAUAUUGUGUGUUUCUGUAUCUCUGGUCAGUAAACCUGUUCUGUUCAGUGGGGUAAAAAAUCUUAUUUUGCCCAAAAGUCACUCUCUUUUGUUUGGGUUUAAAUCCCCGAUUUAAAGGGCGUCGAUCACGUGACUGACGACGGAAAGGAUUUACAGUAUUCUCCGAUCGAGUUUCAUUCUGUACUCUGUUACUGUAACCCGCGAGUGAUUCUCCGUGUCUGAUGACCUCAUAUGGGAAGUCACGAGAUCGCUCGACAAAAUAAUCGUCCCUCAUAAAUCGUCCCCGUCUGGGGAAAUCCCUGUUAUCUGUGUGAGGGAUCAGACGCGCUCGAGGGGUCGUGAAACGACCCUUGUUCUGAAAAACGAACACCAUCCUUAUUUUACUGAACGAUCAAAUCCACAACUGUGUAUUCUUUUAAUCUUUUAUUCUAUUUCUGAAAAUUAAAAAAAAUGUUUUUUUUGUCCUUUUAUAUUUUUUUAACUUUUUUUGGGAUUUUCUUGUGUUUUUUUUAACAAUAAAGAGAUAAACCAACUUUU